rnacentral:rRNA from 1 species
AAAGAAAUCGUUAAGGGCGUAUGGCGGAUGCCUAGGCUUUCAGAGGCGACGAAGGACGUGGUAAGCUGCGAAAAGCUGCGGGGAUUGGCACACACGAAUUGAUCCGCAGAUAUCCGAAUGGGGCAACCCGGCAUAUUGAAGAUAUGUCACCUCGUAAGAGGAGCAAACCCGGAGAACUGAAACAUCUAAGUACCCGGAGGAAAAGAAAUCGAAGAGAUUCCGUAAGUAGUGGCGAGCGAAAGCGGAUUAGCCCAAAAGUCUUUUUAUGUUUAGAGGAAUGUUCUGGAAAGAACAAUCAUAGAAGGUGAUAAUCCUGUACUCGAAAGGCAUAUAGAGAUGAUAAAUGAGUAGGGCGGGACACGUGAAAUCCUGUCUGAAUAUGGGGGGACCAUCCUCCAAGGCUAAAUACUCCUGAAAGACCGAUAGUGAACAAGUACUGUGAAGGAAAGGUGAAAAGCACUUCGAAUAGAAGGGUGAAAUAGAACCUGAAACCGUACGCCUACAAGCGGUCGGAGCAGCGUAAUGCUGUGACGGCGUGCCUUUUGCAUAAUGAGCCUACGAGUUAAUUUUACUAGCGAGGUUAAGGUAUUAAGUACCGGAGCCGGAGCGAAAGCGAGUCUGAAUAGGGCGCAUAGUUAGUAGGAUUAGACGCGAAACCUUGUGAUCUACCCAUGGGCAGGUUGAAGCUCUGGUAACACAGAGUGGAGGACCGAACCGGUUGACGUUGAAAAGUCUUCGGAUGACCUGUGGGUAGGGGUGAAAGGCCAAUCAAACUGGGAGAUAGCUCGUACUCUCCGAAAUGCAUUUAGGUGCAGCGUCGUAUAUAAGUUUAUUAGAGGUAGAGCUACUGAUUGGAUGCGGGGGUUUCAUCGCCUACCAAUUCCUGACAAACUCCGAAUGCUAAUAAAUGUUCUACGGCAGUGAGGGCAUGGGUGCUAAGGUCCAUGUCCGAGAGGGAAAGAACCCAGACCAACAGCUAAGGUCCCCAAAUAUAUGUUAAGUUGAAGCAACGCGGUUGGACUGCAUUGACAGCUAGGAUGUUGGCUUGGAAGCAGCCAUUCAUUUAAAGAGUGCGUAACAGCUCACUAGUCGAGCGGUCCGGCAUGGAUAAUAAUCGGGCAUAAACAUAUUACCGAAGCUAUGGAUUUAUAUUUUAGAUAUAUCUGGUAGGAGAGCAUUCUAUUUGCGCCGAAGCAGUACUGUGAGGUAUUGUGGAGCGGAUAGAAAAGAAAAUGUAGGCAUAAGUAACGAUAAAGCAGGCGAGAAACCUGCUCACCGAAAGACCAAGGCUUCCUCAGCCAUGCUAAUCAGCUGAGGGUUAGUCGGGACCUAACGCGAACCCGAAAGGGGUAGUGGAUGGACAAUGGGUUAAUAUUCCCAUACUUGCUCACAAUAAAAGGGGACGGUUGGAUGUAGCUGCUGGAGACUGACGGAAUAGUCAAGGCCUAGCCUUCGGGCGAAGCUGCUGUAGUGUAAUCUGAUCCAAGAAAAGCCGAAGUGAAGCAACCCGUACCAAAACCGACACAGGUGGUCGAGGAGAGAAUCCUAAGGUGCUCGAGUGAGUCGUGGCUAAGGAACUAGGCAAAAUAGUCUCGUAACUUCGGAAGAAGAGACGCCAACAGCAAUGUUGGCCGCAGUGAAGAGGCCCAGGCGACUGUUUAUCAAAAACACAGGACUCUGCUAAAUCGAAAGAUGCUGUAUAGGGUCUGACACCUGCCCGGUGCUGGAAGGUUAAGGAAGGUGCUUAGCGUAAGCGAAGGCAUUAACUGAAGCCCCAGUAAACGGCGGCCGUAACUAUAACGGUCCUAAGGUAGCGAAAUUCCUUGUCGGGUAAGUUCCGACCUGCACGAAUGGUGUAACGAUCUGGGCACUGUCUCAGCCACGAGCUCGGUGAAAUUGUAGUAUCGGUGAAGAUGCCGAUUACCCGCAAUGGGACGAAAAGACCCUGUGAACCUUUACUAUAACUUCGUAUUGACUUUGAGUAAGUAAUGUGUAGGAUAGGUGGGAGGCUUUGAAGCAGGCACGCUAGUGUUUGUGGAGCCGACGUUGAAAUACCACCCUUUACUUACUUGGAGCCUAACUUCUUUCAGAAGGACAUUGCGUGGUGGGUAGUUUGACUGGGGUGGUCGCCUCCAAAAGAGUAACGGAGGCUUUCAAAGGUACCCUCAGCACGCUUGGUAACCGUGCGUAGAGUGUAAUGGCAUAAGGGUGCUUGACUGUGAGACCUACAAGUCGAUCAGGUGCGAAAGCAGGACAUAGUGAUCCGGUGGUUCCGUAUGGAAGGGCCAUCGCUCAUAGGAUAAAAGGUACUCCGGGGAUAACAGGCUAGUCUCCCCAAGAGCUCACAUCGACGGGGAGGUUCGGCACCUCGAUGUCGGCUCGUCACAUCCUGGGGCUGGAGAAGGUCCCAAGGGUUGGGCUGUUCGCCCAUUAAAGUGGCACGCGAGCUGGGUUCAGAACGUCGUGAGACAGUUCGGUCUCUAUCUAUUGCGGGCGUUAGAUGUUUGAGAGGGCUUGAUUCUAGUACGAGAGGACCGAAUUGAACAAACCUCUGGUGUAUCAGUUGUACCGCCAGGUGCACCGCUGAGUAGCUACGUUUGGAAGAGAUAAGCACUGAAAGCAUAUAAGUGCGAAACUCGCCUCAAGAUGAGACAUCUUUUAAGGGUCGUUGUAGAUGACGACGUUGAUAGGCUAUAGGUGUAAAGACAGUAAUGUCAUAGCCAAGUAGUACUAAUUACCCGUAGAUUUAUAGUC